rnacentral:lncRNA from 1 species
UCAUUUACUCUGUCUUCCUCUCAAGUCUAACCGAAGCCCAACAAACCACCACCUCGGCCAUGGCAACCACCCUCGCCACCGACGUCCGCCUCUCCAUCGCGCACCAGACCCGCUUCGCCCUCCGUCUCGCCUCCACCAUCUCAUCCGCCCUAAGUCUGCUGCCAGCAAUGCCGCCUUCUCCCCGGUCUCCCUCCACUCCGCACUUAGCCUCCUCGACGCUGGCGCGGGCAGUGCCACUCGGGACCAACUCGUCGCCACACUCGGGACAGGCGAGGUCGAGGGACUCCACGCGCUCGCCGAGCAGGUGGUCCAGUUUGUGCUCGCCGACGCGUCCUCUGCUGGAGGUCCGCGUGUCGCCUUUGCCAAUGGCGUCUUCGUGGACGCGUCGCUGCUCCUCAAGCCAUCCUUCCAAGAGAUUGCAGUGUGCAAGUACAAGGCCGAGACCCAAUCCAUGGACUUCCAAACUAAGGUGACCCCCCCCCCCAACUUGGUUCUUACCAGAAAACAAAAACAAUGUAAAAGAAUUUUUAACGGACCUAAUUAUGUACAUUUGAGAGAAACAAUGACAUGCUUAACUAACUACUUCAGCCGCCUGUACAUGUUGGCAUGCCACUGCUUCACUCAGAGAGUUUGUUUUCUGCUGAUGUAAUAUAGAGGUCUAUAUUAAUCUUAUACACAUUCUAGAUUUGUAAUUUAGUGGUUAUCGUAUAUCACUGUUUUUUACACUAGAAGCUUCACCUUUGUAAGCAUAGUUCACACCUGCGACCUUGAACUGUGAAUGAUUUUGCUUAUCCUGUUAGUCAGCAUGAUUGGAGAUAACUAGUCUGUUACUUUUCUGAGCAUACCUAAUCUUUUGGGAGUGUAAUUCUCAUACCGUGCUAUCUAGGGAUAUGAAGGCUGGGGAAUUUGCUGAUGUUUUAUACUUUAAUUACGCUCUUCAGCGAAGUGAGAUUAUAAUUUUGGGAGUAUUUCCUGGAAACUUUGUCUCCAACGUAAGAAGAUGUACAAAAAAUCAGCUAAAGAUUAUAAUUUUGGGAAUAUUUCUGUAAAAGGUAUUGCAUAGUGGUGCUUCGAGAUGUUGUGAUGACCAUUUAAAUUUGUAUGCUCAUAUGAAUUGUUUUUCUAUCAUACGUCGUUGUAUGUGCUGAUUUUACUAUGUGUUUGAAAAUUUUACUAUAGAAAUGCUUUAUAAAAACGCUAGUAUGCUGCUUUGCAUUCUUAGCACAACUAUUAUAUUUUGUUCUUUGAAAGAAUUUUCUAUUGGUUUGUUCAAAGGUUGGUGGCACAGCAGUACCGUCAAACUAUUUUCAUUACAUAACUGACCUUUGUUUAUUUUUUCCAUGGCCCAGGCCGCUGAAGUUACUACUCAAGUGAACUCAUGGGUAGAGAAAGUCACGAGCGGUCGCAUCAAGGACAUUCUCCCCUCAGGAUCUAUUGACAAUACCACUAAACUUGUUCUUGCCAAUGCCCUUUAUUUCAAAGGAGCUUGGACAGAGCAGUUUGAUUCAUAUGGAACAAAAAACGACUACUUCUACCUUCUUGAUGGGAGCUCAGUUCAAACACCAUUCAUGUCCAGCAUGGAUGACCAAUACCUUUUGUCUUCUGAUGGGUUGAAGGUACUUAAGCUUCCUUACAAGCAAGGUGGGGACAAUAGGCAGUUCUCCAUGUAUAUCCUUCUUCCAGAAGCACCGGGUGGUCUCUCAAGCUUGGCCGAAAAAUUGAGUGCUGAACCAGACUUCCUGGAGCGGCAUAUCCCAAGGCAGAGGGUUGCACUUAGGCAAUUCAAGCUCCCCAAGUUCAAGAUAUCAUUUGGAAUUGAAGCAUCCGAUUUGCUCAAAUGUUUGGGCCUCCAGCUUCCAUUCGGCGAUGAAGCGGAUUUUUCGGAGAUGGUGGAUUCCCUAAUGCCACAAGGUCUUCGUGUCUCAUAUGUUUUCCACCAAGCGUUUGUGGAAGUGAACGAACAAGGAACUGAGGCUGCAGCAUCAACUACUAUUAAAAUGGUCCCGCAACAGGCAAGGCCGCCCUCGGUCAUGGAUUUCAUCGCGGAUCACCCUUUCCUCUUCCUUCUCCGGGAAGACAUCUCUGGUGUGGUCCUAUUCAUGGGUCAUGUGGUCAAUCCCCUCUUAUCUUCGUAAUGUGUUUGCUCUGAAAGUGUGUGUUGUCAGUUGCCCUCAGCCAUUACAUGUAAGGGAAGGGUUUCGACGGUCAGUCAUGUUACCGAUACAAUAAAUCCAAUAAAUGGUUCUCCUAAGAUAUCCAAUAAAUUGUCUUUUAAUAACUGCUUGCUUGUUGUGCAAAGGAAAACCAAUUGGACUAUUUUUCAUUAAUCAUUGUGGAUUUGUGGUAGUGCGGAUUUCUCAAAGAACUACUCAUGCCAAAAGAAAAAAUCUAAGUCAUCUUGAUUAGUACUAUCCGACAUGAAUCUCAUCGUCAUUAACAUCUAUAUUUCACAAAAAAAUGCCAAUGGCCACUUUUUGAGAUUGAAUAUGCUCUUCAAUUUCUCUUCUUCUUAGAUUUUUCAUAUCCUCGCUUAUCUUUAGAUACACUAUAACUCCUUGAGAUUGGAGCUCCCAGGGCCGAUUGUGUUGAUCGAUUUACAUGGCCCCACAUGAACGGACGUGACCUUCCACGCUACCCUCUUCCUUGCCGCAGAUCCUUCCUCAGUUUCUCUCCCUUCCGAGAAUCUAUUCCGACAUAGAGACAACGCCUCCAGCACUAUAGUUGGUGCGGCCGACCGCUUUCUGGCUCUCCUCUCCGAUUCCCUGCCUCAGAGCAUCUACAGCCUCAAACACGGUGUGUCUGCGGGCACUGAUCGGUCACUUCACAAAUUGGCAUCUACAUUCGUGUAUUUCAUAUCAGAUCUCCUAUAUCCAUACUAAACUAUGUAGCAUUGAUCAAACUACGUAUAUCAUCAAACGGACAAAAAAUGCACUAUACGUUCAUCAAAAGAUCAUCAACGGAUCUUCGAAAUACCGCCAAAGUUCACAUAGUGCACAUAAAUGACGGACAACUUUAAACUACGUCUAAAAACUGAGCGGAUCUUCAUCACUUCCUCGCCGGAACUUUCCCUUUUCGGUCGCCAGCACAGCUGUAGGCGUCGGCGGCUGGUGGAGGAUCGUCCGAGUCGUCGGACGAGGCGCCGUGGUCGUCACUAUCGUCAGAGGAGGAGCAGAGGAUGAUGAGGCGUUUGAGGCGCCGGACGGCCCGGUCCUGCUGCCGUUUGAGCUCCGCCAGCCGAGCCGCCUCCAAUGCUUUCUCCUCUGCCUCGCGCUCGAACUGCUCGAUGGCAAGCCGGAGCACCUUGGCGUUCUUCCAGCGGAGCUGCCGAUCAUCCGUCUCCGCUGUCGUAAGCGACCGGCAGUAGACCCAAGUGGGGAACCGCUCGUCCCCGUCGAGCUCCGCCGGAAACCCGCGGCGGCGGCGGACAUAUUACUCCUCCGCGUCCCUCUCCCUUGCCCGCUGCCUGCGGUGGCGGGCGUCGGACAGAUUUCUCCGCCGCGUCCCUCUUCCUUGCUCGCUGCCUGUCGUGGCGGGCGGCGCGCGCCUAGCGUGCAUGCCGCGCUCGCUGGGCGGGCACAAGUACCCACCGCUACCCAUGUGGGGGAGCAGCAGCCGACGAGGACAGGGGAUAGUGUGGGGGAGGCGCGGACUGCGCAGCCCUCGUGGCGCUGCGUGUGGGCCGGGAGGGGCCUGCGCCGGCGUCCUCGCUGCGCUGGAAGGGGAGAGGUGAGGCGGCAGAUCCGGAACUGACCUCCGUGUCCACCUUGGACCUCUCGACGGCAAUGCGGAGAGCCAGCACCUCGUCGAUGUUGACGUCAGAGUCGGAGCGGCUGCCGGAACUAGACAUGGUCGCCGGAGUCGUUUGACUGAAUCGAAUCUGGGAAAUCCGAGGAGGAGAAGAGAUGAAACGAGAGCGGAGCGAGGUAGGGUUUUCGAUUGGGGAUAUUUGUGGUGACGGCGUGGGGCCGGUGUGGACCGGGCUACCAUGGCGGACGCACCCGGGGCGCUCGAUAUCCGCCCUAGAUUUGAUCUGAAUAUGAGGGGAGUGAGACAGUCCAAGCAUUUGAGGCUUGUUUGAGGACACGUCUGGAUCAAAUUUUCAUGCUCGGUCAAUGAUCGCGCCAUCCGUCCGGACGUUUGAGACGGAUUUAGAAUGCGCGCCUGUAGAUGCUCUCGGCCUCAAUCUUUCGCCUCCAAACGUUCCCCCGCGACCAACCCAAUCCAGGCCUCGUUCACCGUCUAGCAGUCGUCUGCGCCGCCUCCCGCAAUUCCUCCGACCUCCGGUGCAACACUUCAUGUAACUUCCCUGGAUCAUCGCGCUUCCCGCGCCGUCUCGUCGACAGUCGACGUGCGCUUCUCAUGUUCAAUUUUUCAAGGAUAGUGUCACCGCUUUUUUCUCAUAGUGUUUGGCUGCUCGAUCACCUGGCCGCUGUUAAUCUCAUCUCGGUGAUGCAGCAAACAAAGGAGAGUGCGGGUCUGCAGUUCAAGGUCAGACUGCAGUGCAACUGUGCAAUGUAAGUUUGACUGACACGCUUGGAUCUGCCGCGUCUUUGUGCUGGGUGCUAGUCGCUGCCCUGCUAGAUGCAUGGAAGAGUUGCAUGUAUACACACCGGUGUUGAGCGUUGGUGGCCUCAUUGGUGACUGUCGUGGUUCUAAGUCUGACAAUAGAAUGGGGGGUAAGUAUGGAAAGGCAAGGUCCUAGCUAUGGAGUAGUUGUACACACGGGUGUUUAGCGAGUUUAGACCCUUCUCUGAGGAAGUAACAGCCCUACGUCUCGGAGCCCGGAGGCGGUCGACUGAUCUCUAUGUAUAUGAGUUACAGAAGUGCGAACCUUUCUACCAGUGGAGGGGGGUGGCUUAUAUAGAGGACGCCAGGACCCCAGCCAGCCCACAUAGAGGAGGGUUAAAGUACAUUAAGGCUGGGCGUUACUGGUAACGCCCUAUAUAAAGUGUCAUCAUGACCAUUAAGACUAUUUAAUUACAGACCGUUUGGAUGCAGAGUAGAUCCUGAACUUCCGAUAGUCGAGUGCGUCUUCAUGGUCGAGUGUCUUCUAGCUAGUCGGGUGGAGUCUCCCUUGGUAGAGUGGAGCUUCUUUUGGUCGACCGGAAGGUAGCUUCGUAUGAUAAUGUCCUUUGGCAUGGUAUCCUAGAUAGGUCCAUGACCCUAACCUAGGUACAUAACCUCAUCAUUAGCCCCCGAAUGGAUCGAGGUUCGAGUGAGGAAGGAGUUGACGAUUUUCUCCGACUUAUUUACUGUACUUUGAUUGUGUCGUAUCUUGGAUCGGCGAUUCUUCUUUCGGCGCUGGCGUCGACUUUUACUUCAGUCGCCUUGAUCCAUUCUUAUCUUUUGUCGAGUGAACUUUUGAACUCCGGUGAACUUACGAGCGACGGAUCGCGGGAAGGAUAUCGUCUGACAGAUUGAUCUGCUGUUAGCGGAUUUUGCGGGAUCUGAAAUUUGGGAAGCGCACGAAGCGGGGCAAUCCGCGGCAAUCGGGCGGGAUAAGGCAUGGACGCCUUGAUUUCCGCGUCGCCUUUUUCGCCACGUAUCGUACGUGUGCGACUGUUUCGGGAUGUGACAGAUCUGCUCGGACCCACUCGUCAGCCACUCGGAAGCGCCCUUAUAUAAAGCGUCGGGGAAGAGUUUUUGAACAGUGCCUCCCCAUUCUCCUCUCUUCCCUCUCUGCCUCCGCCCACGGCGCCUGCUCCUAGCUCCGCCUUAUCCACCUCUCGAGCGCUUCGCCGACGAUAAUGGUGAAGGAGAAGACGGCGGUUCUAGAGCGCGCGAAGAAGGUGACGGCGACGGGGCAAGCGAAGGGGAGACCGUCCAGUCGGGGCGGAUCUUCGUCGAGGUCCCGCCUGCCGAAGGGUUGGGUCCAAGGGGAUUGGAUCCGCUCGACCAUCACUGGGAAGGACCUCGACGACCUGGCCAAUGAGGGACUGAUCCCCCACGGGUCAGCAAGGCCCCCGGGGUCCGAGUGUCAACCGCAGCCGCAGGAGGGUGAGCGCGUUCUCUUAGCCACUCACGUAGAUCGUGGUUUUUCUCUGCCGCCGAGUGUGUUCUUCCGUGGGUUUCUGAAAUUCUUUGGGGCGCAACUCCACCAUUUCAAUCCCAAUUCCAUCGCCUAUCUUGCUGCCUUUGUGUCCAUGUGCGAGAACUUCCUGGGUUGUCGACCGCACUGGGGUCUCUUCAAGCACAUAUUCACCUGUCGGUCGCAGACCGUAAAAAAGGCGAGCUCGGGUGAUGAGAGGACCAAGGUUAUUCAGAUGUGCGGGGGUCUUGGGAUUCAGUUGAGGAAUAAGAGCACUUUCCCGGCCAUGACCCUUCCUGAGUCGGUCAGAGGGUGGCAGUCGACUUGAUUCUACUGCCAAGACGAGUCGACGCCGGGGCAGUCGACUGGUCUCCCUCCGUUCUCCAUGGACCGAGUGGUCAAACCGUCUUCUCUGAAGGUGCUUCCUGAGGAGAAAGCCGAGGUAAAAAUGUUGGUGGAGCGCAUGGUCCAACUCGUUCGGGACGGAGUGACGGGCAUGGAUCUUCUGAAAGUAUUCCUUAGGCGGCGCAUCCAACCGCUCCAGUAUCGAGGCCACCCGAUGUGGUUGUACUGCGGUACCGAAGACACCACUCGGGUCCAUCCAGAGGCAGUCGACGACGCCACGCUGGAGAGGUGGGUGACCUCCAUCACAGGGAACAAGGACAACCGUCGAGGAGUGAGGAGGAUCCCGCCACUCGACUGUACCUAUACGCCGGACAAGGUAUGGCCGCUUAUCUCCGAGUGUAAUUUUGUUUUAUCCAUUCUGCUUUGCCACAAAUUGGUCGAUUGAUCUUUGUUUUGCUCUGUUGUCUGAUAGGCCACCACUGAAUUGUACUCGAUUCCCAAUGGGGCGCAGACGCCGACUGAGGAGGAGGAAGGAAGCGGGGGCGAAAGCCCGGAGGAGUGGGAUUCAGAUGUCGACGACGACGAUGAGGGUGAUGACUCUAGUGAGGAGGAAGAAGAGGAGGAAGAGGAGGAAGUUGCACCUCCCCGCUCGGAAAGACGCUCGAAGCUUGCCCAUGAUCCAGCGACUGAGCGGGGUAAGGGGGUCGCAACCGCUUCUCAGUCGACCAAGCGCCCUCGGACCACUUCUCCGGCGCCGACUGAGAAGGCUCCGAAGCAAUCUCGAGUGGCACCGUCGAAGCCUGCAAAGGUCUUGCCGAAGAUGAAGAUGGUGAUCCCCACUAUCUCAGGGUAAUGGUAGUUUUGAGCUUUCCCUGUUUCAUGAACUUGUUCUUGGUCGACUCAUGGUCCAAUCGACUGACUUUUGGAACUGCAGCGUUGCUACUUCCGACACUUCGGCGAGAGCCGAAGACCACGAGAUGGAGGAUGCUGCAACCUCGAACCCUGGUAUGACUCCUGCGUUGCCGUUUUCAGUCGACUGACUCAUUGUCUCUAAUUUUUAUUCUUUCUGCAGUUUCAUCUAACAUUGUUAUUGACCUUCCUGACGACGACGAUGAAUAACCACCACGGCCGAGGAAAAGCAAGAAAACGUCGGCUGGCAAGGCGACUCAGGAUGUGCCGGCACCCGAGACGUUAGUCGUGGAGGGAGACAAUGUCACUCGACCCACCGUAACCUUCGCGGUGCCGUUGAUGAGUGCUCGCCCUUCAUCGUCGAGUGCUGCUCAACCCUCGCUUUUCUCCACCUACCCCGUUCCAGAAGACCAAGCCAGUGCUGCCAAAGAAGCGAUACGCCAGGCGGGGGUCAUGAUGGAGCAAGUGAAGGCAAUUCGAGAAGCCAGCCAGGCAGCCUAUGACGCCAGUUCGGCACUCCAGAGUAAUGUUCAGGUCAGUCGGUCACUGCCUGUUCUUCUUUCUGAAAUUCCUAGAGUCUGUCCUACACCCAGUGGGUGUGUGUCGAUUAAAAUUCCGGGUUAGUGGGGGCACGCUGAGUGCACCCACUGGGUGUAGUCCCCAAGGCUAUGGUGGACUGCUGGCAGUCGACCAUAGUCUUAAUGCUUUGAGUUUUUCUUUACUCGACAAGGUCGAAUAGAUUCAUAGACCGGUGGGGGCACGCUGAGUGCACCCACUGGGUGUAGUCCCCGAGACUGUGGUCGACUGCUGGCAGUUGACUAUAGUCUAAAGAACAUUGCCUCUCUUUUUUUUGUUGGUCGACUAGUCGACUCUUGAUGAAACUAGUGGGGGCACGCUGAGUGCACCCACUGGGUGUAGUCCCCGAGACUAUGGUCGAAUGUUUGCAUUCGACCGUAGUCUUAGAAACGCUAUGAUUUUUCCUUACUCACUCGGAAGUGAAUUUUCUUUGACGUCUGUCGAUUGAUUCUUCGUAGAAAUCAUGUGACCUUGUGGCUCGUUAUACUGAGUUGGAGAACAAACACAUUCAGCUCGAGCUCGAUCUGAAACUGGCCCAAGAGACCUUGACGAAGGCGAAGGAGGAAGCUAAAGGUAUGCUUGGUGAGGCCUUUGACGACUGCCUUUGCCUCUCACUUGUUUCCGAAUCUGAUCUCACUGUAACUUUGUAGGCAAAGUGAUGGACGCCCUGAAGAAACAAGAGCUUGACUUGGCUGAGAUGCAAAAGACUGCUUUAGAGAAGACCAGGCUAGCGGAUGAGAAGCUGGCUUCAGUGACUAAGCUUGAAGAAGAAAACACCAAUCUGAAAGCUGCUCUUGAUGCUGCCAACCAGGAGGUCACUUAACUGAAAAGCGACAAGACCACCCUGAAUGACAAGGCCAGUGAGUUGAAGAGAAAGAAGAAUGAUCUAGAGGCUUAUCUGGGUGGACUCGCCAAGAAGUUGUUCCUCAUGCUUGAAGGUAAUCCUUUGUAUCGAACAAAUAUUUUAAUUGUAACCUCUGACUGUUUGUCUUGACUCGGUGGUUGUGCUUGCAGAAUUUUGUCAGAACUUUGAAGAGGAGACUGGUCGACUGGAAGUGAACCUGGACCCCAUCAACUCUCCUGUGAAAGAUGAAGUUGCCAUGAACAUGCUCCGACUUGAAUCUCGUGUUGCUGCUAUCAUCGAUUAUCUCGCAAGGCUGAAGGUCGCAACUUCCUGCAUCGACACAACACUCUGGCCAAGAGAGACACUCCAGAACGACCUCGAGUCUCUGAUGACUCGACUGAACGAGGUCCCAAGUCGAGUGCAGGAGUGGAAGAAGUCUUCGGCCAGGUGUGGCGCGGAUGUUGCUCUAUCUCUGGUCCGCGUUCACUGCAAGGAUGCAUGAGAGGACAAGCUGGUGGCUCUCAGGGUGGCCAACACCAAGAAGCACGAUUUCAGAUCCUUCAUGGAGACCUUCAUUGCCGCUGCCACUCGGAUUGCAGAUGGAAUCGAUCUGGACGAGUUUGUGGCACCUUCCAGCCCUCCACAGGAGGGGUAAAAAACUUUUGAGCUUGAUACUUUAAAUUUGCCUCGGUAUGCCGAGUGAGUUUUGUAACCGACAAACCUUAACAGGCCUAGCGCCUGAGCACUUUCGGUUCCGCUAGGUGUUAUCCAAACUUGGGUUCGUCGCUGAAUAUGUUUGCAUUUGGUUUGAGGCGUCUUUUGCAGGUUAAAGCGAAGCGCUUAUUGCCAUCGACUUGUCCCCCAAUUCACUUAGGCGGGCACUGGGCUGCAGCUAAGUCCCCGAGCGAGAGGUUUUCCCUCCACUCGGUAGGAUUUCAGACACUUAGGCGAGCACUGGGCCGCAGCUAAGCCCCCGAGUGGGAGGUCUGCUCUCCACUCGGUAGGAUUUCAGAAACUUAGGCGAGCACUGGGCUGCAGCUAAGCCCCCGAGUGGGAGGUCUGCUCUCCACUCAGUAGGAUUUCAAACACUUAGGCGAGCACUGGGCUGCAGCUAAGCCCCCGAGUGGGAGGUCUGCUCUCCACUCGGUAGGAUUUCAGACACUUAGGCGAGCACUGGGCUGCAGCUAAGCCCCCGAGUGGGAGGUCUACUCUCCACUCGGUAGGAUUUCAGACNNNNNNNNNNNNNNNNNNNNNNNNNNNNNNNNNNNNNNNNNNNNNNNNNNNNNNNNNNNNNNNNNNNNNNNNNNNNNNNNNNNNNNNNNNNNNNNNNNNNNNNNNNNNNNNNNNNNNNNNNNNNNNNNNNNNNNNNNNNNNNNNNNNNNNNNNNNNNNNNNNNNNNNNNNNNNNNNNNNNNNNNNNNNNNNNNNNNNNNNNNNNNNNNNNNNNNNNNNNNNNNNNNNNNNNNNNNNNNNNNNNNNNNNNNNNNNNNNNNNNNNNNNNNNNNNNNNNNNNNNNNNNNNNNNNNNNNNNNNNNNNNNNNNNNNNNNNNNNNNNNNNNNNNNNNNNNNNNNNNNNNNNNNNNNNNNNNNNNNNNNNNNNNNNNNNNNNNNNNNNNNNNNNNNNNNNNNNNNNNUAAGCCCCCGAGUGGGAGGUCUGCUCUCCACUCGGUAGGAUUUCAGACACUUAGGCGAGCACUGGGCUGCAGCUAAGCCCCCGAGUGGGAGGUCUGCUCUCCACUCGGUAGGAUUUCAGAAACUUAGGCGAGCACUGGGCUGCAGCUAAGCCCCCGAGUGGGAGGUCUGCUCUCCACUCGGUAGGAUUUCAAACACUUAGGCGAGCACUGGGCUGCAGCUAAGCCCCCGAGUGGGAGGUCUGCUCUCCACUCGGUAGGAUUUUUGAAUUGGUGGCGCAACUCGGAAGGAGAGGGUAGCAGUCGACCUGCACCUCGUCCUCCUUGCGGAACGCAUGUUGUACUUGUACUUAGGCGAGUUCUUGGACUGCAGCUAGGCCUCCGAGUGGAAGGCUGGCUUACCACUCGGUAGGAUUUUAUUUAUCUUAGGCGAGUACUUGGACUGCAGCUAAGCCUCCGAGUGGAAGGCUGGCUUACCACUCGGUAGGAUUUUAUUUAUCUUAGGCGAGUACUUGGACUGCAGCUAAGCCUCCGAGUGGAAGGCUGGCUUACCACUCGGUAGGAUUUUAUUUAUCUUAGGCGAGUACUUGGACUGCAGCUAAGCCUCCGAGUGGAAGGCUGGCUUACCACUCAGUAGGAUUUUAUUUAUCUUAGGCGAAACGGAUUUUACAGCUAAGCCUUCGUGUGGGAGACUGACUCACCACUCGGUUAGGAUUUGUUUUUACAGACUUAGGCGAAUCGGAUUCGCAGCUAAGCCACCCACUGGGGGAUUGUUUUAUAUGGACAAAAGUAAUAACAAUCACUGGGAAAACUAUAAAGCUCUUGUCUUUGAUAAAUAAACUACAGGAGUACUUUUAUUACAACUCAUCCGAGUGAAUACCUAAGUGUAAAAGGGGCGGAGAAGCUCCGCGUUCCAAGCUCGGGGCUCGUCAAUCUGAUGCUUGACAUUGUAAAGACGGUAUGCUCCAUUGUGGAGAACCUUGGUGACCAUGAAGGGACCUUCCCAAGAAGGAGCAAGCUUGUGUGGUUUCUGCUGGUCCACUCGGAGAACUAAAUCUCCUUCCUGGAAGGCUCGACUCUUCAUGUUUUUGGCGUGGAAGCGACGCAAGUCUUGUUGAUAAAUGGUCGAUCUGAUCAGAGCCAUCUCUCUUUCUUCCUCUAAAAGGUCGACUGCGUCCUGCCGCGCUUGUUCUGCUUCAGCUUCGGUGUAGAGCUCGACUCGGGGAGCGUUGUGGAGAAGAUCACUCGGCAAGACUGCUUCAGCUCCGUAGACCAAGAAGAAUGGAGUUCUUCCAGUCGACCGGUUGGGUGUGGUCCUUAACCCCCAAAGCACCGAGGGAAGUUCGUCAACCCAUGCACCAGCCGCAUGCUUGAGAUCACGCAUCAAACGGGGCUUCAACCCUUUGAGAAUUAAACCGUUGGCUCAUUCUGCCUGUCCAUUCGUCUGCGGAUGGGCAACUGAAGCAUAGUCGACUCGCGUGCCUUGAGACGUGCAGAAAGCUCUGAAUUCUUCAGAAUCGAAGUUUGACCCGUUAUCAGUGAUGAUGUUGUGCGGGACUCCAUAUCUAAAUAUCAGUUCUCGGAUGAAGCUGACAGCGGUACCAGCAUCGAGGUUCUUGAUGGGUUUGGCCUUAAUCCACUUGGUAAACUUGUCGACUGCUACCAGCACAUGUGUGAAACCGCUUCUUCCUGUUCUCAAUGGGCCAACCAUAUCCAAACCCCAUACAACAAAGGGCCAGACAAGUGGUAUGGUCUUUAAGGCUGAGGCAGGCUUGUGUGACAUAUUGGAGUAAAAUUGACAUCCCUCACACUUGUCGACUAUCUCCUUCGCCAUUUCAUUCGCUCUGGGCCAAUAAAAACCAGCUCGGUAUGCUUUGGCCACGAUGGUCCGAGAAGACGCAUGAUGGCCACAGGUCCCCGAGUGGAUGUCAUUGAGAAUCAUUCGACCUUCCUCCGGUGUUAUGCAUUUCUGGCUGACUCCAGUCGCACUUUCUCUGUACAACUGACCUCUCAUGACGGUGAAGGCUUUGGACCGGCGGACGAUCUCUCGAGCUUCUUCUUCAUUCUCGGGGAGUUCCUUCCUCAAAAUAUAGGCGAUGUAGGGCACUGUCCAAUCGGGAGUGAUGACCAAAACUUCCAUGAUCAAGUCGACCACCGCUGGGACCUCGACUUCAGUCGGAUCUGUGGCGCUUUUAGGCUGCGGGGCUUCUGCAGUGAAAGGAUCCUCUUGAACCGAUGGCGUGUAGACAUGUUCCAAAAACACGCCACUCGGAAUGGCUUCCCUCUUGGAACCUAUCUUUGCCAAGUCAUCGGCUGCUUGAUUUUUCAGUCGGGGAACGUGAUGGAGUUCUAACCCUUCGAAUUUCUUUUCAAGCUUCCUCACUGCAUUGCAGUAUCUAGUCAUGGAUGGGCUUCUCACGUCCCACUCCUUCAUCACCUGAUUGACCACCAAAUCUGAGUCGCCGUAAACCAUAAGGCGACGGACGCUGAGUGAAAUGUCCAUGCGCAACCCAUACAACAGUGCUUCAUAUUCUGCUUCAUUGUUGGAGGAAUCAAAGUGGAUCUGGAGCACAUAUCUGAGCUUAUCUCCUCGGGGAGAAACCAAAACUACCCCAGCACCAGAACCAUUUAACAUCUUAGAGCCAUCAAAGAACAUGGUCCAAUGCUCCGAGUGAACUUGAGUCGGCUGCUGCUGUUCAAUCCACUCGGCAAGGAAAUCUGCUAUAGCCUGGGACUUAAUGGCUUUCUUUGCCUCGAAUUUGAUAUCAAGGGGAAGGAGUUCAAUCGCCCAUUUAGCCACUCGACCAGUUGCAUCUCUGUUGUGCAGAAUCUCCGACAAUGGUGCGUCGCUGACGACUAUAAUGUCAUGAUCAGAGAAAUAAUGAGCAACCUUCUUCAUGGUCAUGUAGAUCCCAUAUACGAGCUUCUGAUAAUGAGGAUAUCUUUGCUUCGAUCGGGUCAAAACUUUAGAGAGAUAAUACACUGGGCGCUGAACUUUGAAGGCUUUCCCUUCUACUUCCCGCUCGACCGUAAGUAUUGUACUGACGACUUGUCCUGUGGCUGCAAUAUAAAGCAACAGUGGCUCUUUACUGAUUGGAGCGGCAAGCACCGGCUAGGUGGAGAGCAGAGUUUUUAACUCGGCAAACGCUGCAUCAGCUUUUGGAGUCCACUCGAACUUGUCUGCCUUCUUCAUCAGUCGGUAAAGGGGCAACGCCUUUUCACCGAGGCGAGAGAUGAAUCGACUUAACGCGGCCAGGCAUCCAGUAAGCUUCUGGACAUCGUGCACACGCACAGGGCGUUUCAUUCGGAGUAUGGUGCCAACUUUUUCUGGGUUAGCAUCGAUUCCUCGUUCCGAAACGAGAAAACCGAGUAACUUCCCACCAGGUACUCCGAAUGUGCACUUUGAAGGAUUGAGCUUGAUAUCAUACCUCCUGAGAUUGGCAAAUGUUUCAGCUAAGUUAGUCAACAGGUCGGAACCCUUUCGCGACUUGACCACGAUAUCAUCCAUGUAUGCUUCCACAUUCCAACUAAUUUGAGUGAGUAAACACUUUUGAAUCAUUCUCAUGAAUGUGGCUCCGGCAUUCUUGAGGCCGAAAGGCAUGGUGAUAUAGCAGAAGCACCCGAAUGGGGUGAUGAAAGCUGUUUUGAUUUCAUCGGGCCCAUACAGACGGAUCUGAUGAUACCCGGAAUAAGCGUCCAGAAAAGACAAUCUCUCGCACCCUGCGGUCGAGUCGACAAUUUGGUCGACGCGAGGGAGAGGAAAAUGAUCUUUCGGGUAGGCCUGAUUGAUAUGUUUGAAAUCAAUGCACAUACGAAGGGAAUUGUCCUUUUUGCGAACCAUAACGACAUUGGCGAGCCACUCGGAGUGGUAUAUCUCUCGGAUGAACUCUGCUGCAAGGAGUCGAGCCACCUCUUCGCCAAUGGCUUUUUUGUUCUGAACAGCGGACCGUCGAAGAUGUUCUUUAACGAGUUUUGCCUUUGAAUCGACUCUAAGGCGAUGCUCAGCCAGUCCCCUGGGAACACCUGGCAUGUCAGCUGGCUUCCAUGCGAAGAUGUCCCAGUUCUCACGGAGGAACUGGAUGAGCGCUUCUUCCUAUUUAGAGUCGGGUGUAGUGGAAAUAUGGGUCGGAGCUGCAUUGGGGUCAGUCGGGUGGAUGUGAACUGGCUUCGUCUCACCGGACGACUGAAAUGCUGACUCUGUGGCGGGCUUCUUGGCUCGCAGUAAAUCACUCGGAUCUGCGUUCUUCUUGUACCCCUCUAGCUCUAUCACUGUUAUCUGGUCAUCCGCAAUCUUUGAGCCUUUCUGGAAACACUCUUCUGCUUUCUUCCGGUUACCAGUGACGGUGAUCACGCCUUUGGGGCCAGGCAUCUUUAACUUGAGGUACACGUAACAUGGUCGAUCCAUGAAGCGGGCGUAGGCUGGUCUUCCCAAGAUAGUGUGGUAGGCGCUCUGGAAAUCCACGAUUUCAAAUGUCAGCUUCUCUUUGCGGAAAUGCUUCGAGUCACCGAACACCACAUCCAGAGCUAUUUGGCCGAGUGACUCAGCCUUCUUUCCUGGGAUGACUCCGUGAAAACUCAUGUUGCUGGAACUGAGCCUGGACAUCGGAAUGCCCAUUCCCUUGAGCGUCUCUGCAUAUAGUAUGUUCAACCCGCUGCCGCCAUUCAUCAAUACCUUCGUCAGUCGAGUGCCUUCGACGACCGGGUCGGCCACCAGUGCUUGCCUCCCAGGGGUGGCAAUAUGAGUAGGAUGGUCCGACUGGUCGAAAGUAAUGGGAGUUUGCGACCAUCUCAGAUAGUUUGGUGUUGCUGGUGCGACCAUAUUGACUUCACGGUUGAUCACUUUCAGUCGACUUUUGCUCUCUACAUCAGCAAAAAUCAUCAGAGUGAAGUUGACAUGAGGGUACUCACCAUCACUGUCCUGCUUGUCCUCAGCCUUGUCUGACUCCUUCUCUUUGUCCUUCAGCUGUUUCCCUUGGAACUGCUGGAUUAAGAGCCGGCACUGGCGAGUGGUAUGCUUUGGGUAGAUGAAGUUACCCUCUUCGUCUUUCUUCGUGUGGAUAUGACACGGCAGGUCCAUCACAUCAUUACCCUCCUUAUCUUUUACCUUCUUGGGGUUCCAAGAUCCUUUGGGCUUCCCUUUAAAUUUGCCCUGUGUCACGGCUAGAGCCUCUCCAGGAGCUGCUGGCUCGGCCUUCCGCUUCUGCUUCCGACUGGAGUUUCCUUUAUCCGACUAACUCGGCUUGUACUUGCCGCUCCGGAGUCGGUCCUCUUCUUCGCCGUUGGCGUACUUGGUGGCUAUUUCCAUCAUCCGACUCAGGGUCAUGUCUCCAGUUCGACCAAACUUCAGGCUCAACUCUUUGUUCUUGACGCCAUCUUUGAAGGCGCAAACCGCUUGAUGGUCCGACACAUUCUCUACAGUGUGAUGCAAAGUGAUCCACCUCUGGAUGUAAUCCCUCAGUGUUUCACUCGACUUUUGUACACAAACUUGUAGCUCAGUUAAUCCAGCAGGUCGCUUGCAAGUUCCCUCAAACGUCCUGACGAACACUCGAGAAAGAUCUACCCAGGUGUAAAUGUUGCUGGGAGCUAACUGAUUCAACCAUGCCCUGGCUGAACCUCCUAGAAUAAGUGGCAAAUGUUUCAUGGCCACCUCAUCAUUACCGCCACCAAUCUGAACAGCCACUCGGUAGUCUUCGAGCCAAGUUUCAGGCUUAGACUCUCCGGUGAACUUAUUCACCCCAUUCGCCAACCUGAAGUUGGGGGGUAUCACUGCGGUUCUGAUCGCUCUGCGAAAACAUUCUGGACCUGAAACAUGGACUCGGCUGCUUGUGGGCACAUCUCUGUCAUGACCACCUCUAUGAGCUCUGUUUCAGUCGACCAAACCUUGCACGAUGAUGGAUCUCGCGUCAAAGCCUGGCUCUCUGGGGUCGACUGGAGCUCUCUGCCCAACACUGAGCUGGCUUCUAUCAUCUUGCUGCCGAUGGGCGUUAGACCCACUUCUCGGAGGAGGAGUGGGCACUCGACGCCUGUCAUCACGAUCAAAUCGAUCAUCAUAGUGGUCCCGCCGGCCUUCACGUCCCACGCGCCUCGGAGGCGACCUUGGACUGUCAGCUGACUGAAUAGUAUUCGCAGCAACAGAUCGACUGUGAAUCCUGUUAGGUGACUGUGACACAGCUGAAUUCUGAUCUCCUGCUGCCCGGAGCAAAUCUCUGAUCUGCAUCAAGCCUCUUCCAGCCUCUGACUGAGAGGGCUGAAUUGACUCUGCUAUGCGGGCUGCAGCUGCCAAAUUCUGAAUUGGGGUUCGAUAUACCUGAGUUGGUUGCGGAAAGAGCUGACGUCGAUUGGAGUUAGUCGCUCGUUGACGCGCAUGCUCGUCGAGUGCUCGCUGAAGGUUCUCCAGUCGAGUGUGUUCAGCCAGGUUGGCUAAACGCGCCUCUUCCAGGGCACGAGCCUCAGGAGUUUCUCCUGCAAUGGGAGUAUGCAGGGCAUCCAUGUUCUGGCGGCGAAGUUCUUCCCUCUGCUGGGAAGUGAGCGGCUCGGGUUGGUACUCUUCAUGGGCUUGAGCAGGGUCAUCCUCGUCGUCCAUCCCGUCGCCACGGGGGAAACCGGGAGGACUACGGGGCCCAUUGACCAUCAGGACCUCCGCCGUCGGAUCACUGCUAUCGCACUCGGAUGCAGCCUCUACAGAGCCAGUCGACAGGUCGAAUAGGCCGUAGAGAGAUCCGUCAGGCUCAAUCGCCGCGACUUGGGUGGUGGCCGAUUGGCGAGCCACUGCGUGUCUCACCCAUCGCUGGAGCCUCAACCGACCGGAGCGCUUGCGCUGGCGGGAGACAGGGAGGGAGGACGGCGCAGGAGUCGACCGGUAUGGGGUCGACGGCUGCCGCAGCAAGACGCUGCGGACACACACCCGAAAGUGCAUCGCCCCGCGGACGGGGAGCGCUCCGAUGUCGAGUGGUGCCUCCUGGAGCCAAGCGGAGUCGUCGGCGAUGAAAGUGAGCGCACCGAGACGGAUCUCGUGGCCCUCGACCAGAGCUCUGCCAGAAACCAUGAUGAAGGCGAUCGGACAAAUUGCAACUUCUCCAAAAAAGUCGCUAAGACACCUGCCCCACGGUGGGCGCCAACUGUCGUGGUUCUAAGUCUGACAGUAGAAUGGGGGGUAAGUAUGGAAAGGCAAGGUCCUAGCUAUGGAGUAGUUGUACACACGGGUGUUUAGCGAGUUCAGGCCCUUCUCUGAGGAAGUAACAGCCCUACGUCUCGGAGCCCGGAGGCGGUCGACUGAUCUCUGUGUAUAUGAGUUACAGGGGUGCGAAACUUUCUACCAGUGGAGGGGGGUGGCUUAUAUAGAGGACGCCAGGACCCCAGCCAGCCCACGUAGGGGGGGUAAAAGUACAUUAAGGCUGGGCGUUAUUGGUAACGCCCUACAUAAAGUGUCAUCAUGACCAUUAAGACUAUUUAAUUACAAACCGUUUGGAUGCAGAGUAGAUCCUGAACUUCCGAUAGUCGAGUGCGUCUUCAUGGUCGAGUGUCUUCUAGCCGGUCGAGUGGAGUCUCCCUUGGUCGAGUGGAGCUUCUUUUGGUCGACUGGAAGGUAGCUUCAUAUGAUAAUGUCCUUGGGCAUGGUAUCCUAGAUAGGUCCAUGACCCUACCCUAGGUACAUAACCUCAUCAGUGACCCCGUGGACGAAAAAGGUCUGAACAUUUUUCUGAUUUGCACACACCCUGUCGAUCCUGGACACACCAGAAAAGGCCAAUCUUUUUUAUUUAGCUGCCUAUGUUUUUACACAAAACUAUGAAGAACAUAGAGGGCAGCUUUGGGUCACGGAAAAAACUUAUACUGUGUGCAAAAGAAAUCAUGAUUUCAGCAGCACUGAAUAUGUACAGCAAAGGUCGAAACAAUUUAUCAAAAAAUGUGUCUGUGUUUCAUUCUUCCGCAAUACAAUAAGAAGUCCACCACUAAAGCUUUUUCCUCCUCCACAAGUAAAGUCCCUUAUCCUCCGGUCGGCGUCGCCGUCGGUCCGCCCCAUCUCUGAUGGCCUCUGGGCCAUGGAGUCGCCGAGGAUCCCAGCCCUUGUUCUCCUCCUUGUUAGAUUUAGCGUCUUGGUUGGGGUUGGGUGGAGGCGGCGAUGUCCCUUAAUAGGAAUAAUGUAUGAUUGGUUAUCUUUGUAAGUAUCUUCGAGUUAUCAGUUUGGUUUGGCCUACUAGAUUUAUCUUUCUUGCAAUGUUAGAAGUGCUUAGCUUUGGGUUCAAUCUUGCGGUGUCCUUUCCCAGUGACAGCAGGGGCAGCAAGGCACGUAUUGUAUUGUUGUCAUCGAGGAUAAAAAGAUGGGGUUUAUAUCAUAUUGCUUGAGUUUAUCCCUCUACAUCAUGUCAUCUUGCCUAAUGUGUUACUUUGUUCUUAUGAAUUUAAUACUCUAUAUGCAAGCUGGAUAGCGGUCAAUGUGUGGAGUAAUAGUAGUAAAUGCAGGCACGAGUCGGUCUACUUGUCGUGGACGUGAUGCCUUGAUACGUCUCCAACGUAUCUAUAAUUUUUUAUUGUUCCAUGCUAUUAUAUUACCCGUUUUGGAUGUUUAUGGACUUUACUUUACACUUUUAUAUUAUUUUUGGGACUAACCUACUAACCGGAGACCCAACCCGUAUUGCUGUUUUUUUUGCCUAUUUCAGUGUUUUGAAGAAAAGGAAUAUCAAACAGAGUCCAAACGGAAUGAAACCUUCAGGAGCGUGAGUUUUGGAACAAACGUGAUCCAAGGGACUUGGAGUGCAAGUCAAGAAGCAAUCGAGGCGGCCACCAGGGUGGAGGGCGCCCCCUAUCUCGUGGGCCCCUCGGGCGUCCACCGACCUACUUCUUCCUCCUAUAUAUACCCACGUACCACGAGAACAUCAAAGGCGACCACGAAAAACUAUUUCCACCACCGUAACCUUCUGUAUUCACGAGAUCCCAUCUUGGAGCCUUCGUCAUUGCUCCAUCGGAGAGGGAAUCAACCAUGGAGGGCUUCUACAUCAACACCAUAGCCUCUCCAAUUAGUUGUGAGUAGUUUACCACAGACCUUCGGGUCCAUAGUUAUUAGCUAGAUGGCUUCUUCUCUCUCUUUGAAUCUCAAUAUCAUGUUCUCCUCGAUCUUCUUGGAGAUCUAUACGGUGUAACUCUUUUUGCGAUGUGUUUGUCUCGAUCCGAUGAAUUGUGGGUUUAUGAUCAAGUUUAUCUAUGAGAAAUAUUUGAAUCUCCUCUGAAUUCUUUUAUGUGUGAUUAAGUUAUCUUUGCAAGUCUCUUCAAAUUAUCAGUUUGGUUUGGCCUACUAGAUUGAUCUUUCUUGCAAUGGGAGAAGUUCUUAGCUUUGGGUUCAAUCUUGCGGUGUCCUUUCCCAGUGACAGCAGGGGCAGCAAGGCAUGUAUUGUAUUGUUGUCAUCGAGGAUAAAAAGAUGGGGUUCAUAUCAUAUUGCAUGAGUUUAUCCCUCUACAUCAUGUCAUCUUUCUUAAUGCGUUACUCUGUUAUUUAUGAACUUAAUACUCUAGAUGCAUGCUGGAUAGCGGUCGAUGUGUGGAGUAAUAGUAGUAGAUGCAGGCAGGAGUCGGUCUACUUGUUAUGGACGUGAUGCCUAUAUACAUGAUCAUGCCUAGAUAAUCUCAUAAUUAUUUGCUUUUCUAUCAAUUGCUCGACAGUAAUUUGUUCACCCACCGUAAUACUUAUGCUAUCUUGAGAGAAGCCACUAGUGAAACCUAUGGCCCCCGGGUCUAUCUUUUAUCAUAUAAGCUUUCAAUCUACUUUUAUUUGCAUCUUUACUUUUCCAAUCUAUAUUAUAAAAUACCAAAAAUAUAUUUAUCUUAUCAUACUAUCUCUAUCAGAUCUCACUUUCGUAAGUGGCCGUGAAGGGAUUGACAACCCCGUUAUUGCGUUGGUUGCGAGUUCUUGUUUGUUUGUGUAGGUGCGUCGGACUUUUGAGGAGCCUCCUACUGGAUUGAUACCUUGGUUCUCAAAAACUGAGGGAAAUACUUACGCUACUAUUGUUGCAUCACCCUUUCCUCUUCAAAGAAAACCAACGCAAGCUCAAGACGUAGCAUGCCUAUAUACAUGAUCAUGCCUAGAUAUUCUCAUAACUAUGCACUUUUCUAUCAACUGCUCGACAGUAAUUUGUUCACCCGCCGUAAUAUUUAUGCUAUCUUGAGAGAAGCCACUAGUGAAACCUAUGGCCCCGGGUCUAUUUUCCAUCAUAUAAGUUUCCGAUCUACUUUAUUUAGCAAUCUUUACUUUUCAAUCUAUAUCAUAAAAAUACCAAAAAUAUUUAUCUUAUUAUUAUCUCUAUCAUAUCUCACUUUCGCAAGUGGCCGUGAAAAGAUUGACAACCCCUUUAUCGCGUUGGUUGCGAGGUUCUUGUUUGUUUAUGUAGGUACGAGGGACUUGCGUGUAGCCUCCUACUGGAUUGAUACCUUGGUUUUCAAAAGUUGAGGGAAAUACUUACGCUACUUUGCUGCAUCACCCUUUCCCGCUUCAAGGGAAAACCAACGCAGUGCUCAAGAGGUAGCAAGAAGGAUUUCUGGCGCCGUUGCCGGGGAGGUCUACGCACAAGUCAAGACAUACCAAGUACCCAUCACAAACUCUUCUCCUCGCAUUACAUUAUUUUCCAUUUGCCUCUUGUUUUCCUUUCCCCCACUUCACCCUUGCCGUUUUAUUCGCGCUCCCUUUCCCGUUCGCCUCUUUUUCCGCUUGCUUCUUGUGGUACUUGCUUUCACUAUGUCUGAAACUGGGGAGGUUAUCAUUGAUAAGGACAAUAGUAAUAACAUGGGAAACUUUGAUGCUUUUGAUGAUCCUACUGAAGAAACCACUAUCUUACAUACUAAAAGAUUUCGAAUCGGUAGUGGUAAUAUUAUUGGAAAAGGGGUUAUUCAAGAUUCUUUACUUGUGUUGGUGCUUUACCUUCUAUGGGUGGAUCUAUUCUUCAUAGAACUAGUAGUCUUGCGGAUGCUAUAUCCUUGCUUAUAGUUGAACUUGAAAGACAGUUUAUGCAUAUGCAUCCUUGCAUACAAAGGAUUUUUCUAGAAUUUUCCAAUAUUGAGCAUUCUUCUGUUAAGCGCGCAGCUACUAUCUUUUUGGCACAUGAGUUCAGAUUUAUAAUAAAAGAAGCCAGAGAAAUCUUUGCGCACUAUAGGGUGGACGCUGGUCGCCCUCCCAUUUAGGCGAUCCUUUUUAAUCAAGAAGACAUAAUGCGUUUACAAUCCUUAGAUCGUGUUGCUUUUAAUGAAAACCUUAGGAAAAAGGUUCCUACCGAUGUUCUAGUUGAUAGAAUCUCUGAACUUAAUGAUGAUUUUGCUAUUCAUAACAAUGGGUUGGGAUUUUCUCUUGAGCAAAGGCUCAUGACUUUUUGCCAAAAGAAUGCUUAUAAUGAUGAAUUGGUUGUGUAAUAUGAAGGGCCAAAGGAGGAACCCAUACCUCCCGAGCUUGAUCUUGGGGACUUUUGUCCCAUUAAAUUUAGCCCUUUUGAUUACUUUUGCUUGCCACAAAGAAAACUUGUUGUUGAACGUAGGGAAUAUGAGAUGAGUUUUCGUGAUUUACCUUAUCAUUACGGCAAUAAUUAGAUCUAUUCUCGCUUUUAUGCCUAGCUAGGGGCGUUAAACGAUAGCGCUUGUUGGGAGGCAACCCAAUUUUAUUUUUGUUCUUUACUUUUUGCUCCUGUUUAGUAUUAAAUAAUUCAUCUAGCCUCUGGUUAGAUGUGGUUUUAUGUUUUAGUUAGUGUUUGUGCCAAAUAGAACCUAUAGGAUCAUCUUGGGUGAUAGUUAAUUUGAUCUUGCUAAAAAACAGAAACUUUUGCGCACACGAGAAUAAUUUUAAUAAAUCACAGAAACAUGAUUUUGAGUUGAUUAUUUUUUAAGAAGAUUAAUAGACAAAUUUACUAGGACUUCCUAUUUUCGUAGGACUUUUAAGGUUCUAGAAGUAUUCGAAAGUUACAGAUUACUACAGACUGUUCUGUUUUUGACAGAUUCUGUUUUUUGUGUGUUGUUUGCUUAUUUUGAUGAAUCUAUGGCUAGUAUCGGGGGGUAUGAACCAUAGAUAAGUUGGAAUACUGCAGGUUUAACACCAAUAUAAAUAAAGAAUGAUUUCAUUACAGUACCUUAAAGUGGUGGUUUGCUUUUUUGCACUAACGGAGCUCAUGAGAUUUUUUGUUGAGUUUUGUGUUGUGAAGUUUUCAAGUUUUGGGUAAAGAUUUGAUGGAUUAUGGAAUAAGGAGUGGCAAGAGCCUAAGCUUGGGUAUGCUCAAGGCACCCCAAGAUAAAUUCAAGGACAACCAAAAGCCUAAGCUUGGGGAUGCCCCGGAAGGCAUCCCCUUGUCUUCAUCUAUCAGUAACUUUACUUGGAGCUAUAUUUUUAUUCACCACAUGAUAUGUGUUUUGCUUGGAGCGUCUUGAAUGAUAUGAGUCUUUGAUUUUUAGUUUACCACAAUCAUCCUUGCUGUACACACAUUUUGGGAGAGACACACAUGAAUCGGAAUUUAUUAGAAUACUCUAUGUGCUUCACUUAUAUCUUUUGAGCUAGAUAAUUUUGCUCUAGUGCUUCACUUAUAUCUUUUUAGAGCACGGCGGUGGUUUUAUUUUGUAGAAAUUAUUGAUCUCUCAUGCUUCACUUAUAUUAUUUUGAGAGUCUUUUAGAACAGCAUGGUAUUUGCUUUGGUUAUAAAAUUAGUCCUAAUAUGAUGGGCAUCCAAGUUGGGUAUAAUAAAAAUUGUCAUAGAAAGUGCAUGAAACACUAUAAGAAAUUUGAUACUUGAUAAUUGUUUUGAGAUAUAAAGGUGGUAAUGUUAGAGUCAUGCUAGUUGGGUAAUUAUGAAAUUGAGAAAUACUUGUGUUAAAGUUGGCAAGUCCCGUAGCAUGCACGUAUGGUAAACGUUGUGUGACAAAUGUGUUGCACGGGGUGUUCUUUUGAUUGCCUUCCUUAUGUGUGGAGGUCGGGAUCGCGCGAUGGUUAACUCCUACCAACCCUUCCCCUAGGAGCAUGCGUAGUAGUACUUUGCUUCGAGGGCUAAUAAACUUUUGCAAUAAGUAUAUGAGUUCUUUAUGACUAAUGUGAGCCCAUGGAUUAUACGCACUCUCACCCUUCCACCAUUGCUAGCCUCUCUUGUGCCGCGCAACUUUCGCCAGUAUCAUACACCCACCAUUUACCUUCCUCAAAACAGCCACCAUACCUACCUAUUAUGGAAUUUCUAUAGCCAUUCCAAGAUAUAUUGCCAUGCAACUCUCCACCGUUCCGUUUAUUAUGACACGCUCCAUCAUUGUCAUAUUGCUUUUGCAUGAUCAUGUAGUUGACAUCGUAUUUGUGGCAAAGCUACCGUUAUAAUUCUUUCAUACAUGUCACUCUUGAUUCAUUGCAUAUCCUGGUACACCGCUGGAGGCAUUCACAUAGAGUCAUAUUUUGUUCUAAGUAUUGACUUGUAAUUCUUGAGUUGUAAAUCAAUAAAAGUGUGAUGAUCUUCAUUAUUAGAGCAUUGUCCCAAGUGAGGAAAGGAUGAUGGAGACUAUGAUUCCCCCACAAGUCACUAUGAGACUCCGGACCUCAUGAUAAAUAAAAGAGGCCAAAGAAGCCCAAAUAAAAAAGAGAGGCCAAAGAAGCCCACCCAAAAAAAUGAGAGAAAAAGAGAGAAGGGACAUUGUUACUAUGCUUUUUCCAGACUUGUGCUUCAAAGUAGCACCAUGAUCCUCAUGGUAGAGUCUCCUAUGUUGUCACUUUCAUAUACUUGUGGGAAUUUUUCAUUAUAGAACUUGGCUUGUAUAUUACAAUGAUGGGCUUCCUCAAAAUGCCCUAGGUCUUUGUGAGUAAGCGAGUUGGAUGCACACCCACUUAGUUUCUUUUGUUGAGCUUUCACACAUUUAUAGCUCUAGUGCAUCUGUUGCAUGGCAAUCCCUACUCACUCACGUUGAUAUCUAUUAAUGGGCAUCUCCAUAGGCCGUUGAUACGCCUAGUCAAUGUGAGACUUUCUCCUUUUUUGUCUUCUCCACACAACCUCCAUCAUCAUAUUCUAUUCCACCCAUAGUGCUAUAUCCAUGGCUUACGCUCAUGUAUUGCGUGAGAGUUGAAAACGCUGAAGCGCGUUAAAAAGUAUGAACCAAUUGCUUGGCUGAAACCGGGGUUAUGCAUGAUGGGAGUAUUUUGUGUGACAAAAAUGAAGCAUAGCCUAACUAUAUGAUUUUGUAGGGAUAAGCUUUCUUUGGCUACAUUAUUUUGAUAAGACAUGAUUACUUGUUAGUAUGCUUAAAGUAUUACUAUUUUUAUGUUAAUAUGAACUUUUAUUUUGAAUCAUUUGGAUCUGAACAUUCAUGCCACAAUAAAGAAAAUUACAUUGAGAAAUAUGCUAGGUAGCAUUCCACAUCAAAAAUUCUGUUUUUAUCAUUUACCUACUCGAGGACGAGCAGGAAUUAAGCUUGGGGAUGCUUGAUACGUCUCCAAGGUAUCUAUAAUUUUUUAUUGUUCCAUGCUAUAUAUUACCCGUUUUGGAUAUUUAUGGGUUUUACUAUACACUUGUAUAUCAUUUUUUGGACUAACCUAUUAACCGGAGGCCCAGCCCAAAUUGUUGUUUUUGCCUAUUUCAGUGUUUCGCAGAAAAGGAAUAUCAAACGGAGUCCAAACGGAAUGAAACCUUCGGGAGAGUUAUUUUUAAAACAAACGCAAUCCAGGAGACUUGGAGUGGAUGUCAAGAAAAAAACAAGGCGGCCAUGAGGCAGGGAGGCGCGCCCUAGGGGGGUGGGCGCGCCCCCCACCCUCGUGGGCCCCUCGUGGCUCCUCUGACCGACUUUCUUCGCCUAUAUAUAUCUACAUACCCUGAAAACAUCCAGGAGCACCACGAAACCCUAUUUCCACAACCGCAACCUUCUGUACCCGUGAGAUCCCAUCUUGGAGCUUUUUCCGGCGCUCCGCCGGAGGGGGAAUCGAUCACGGGGGGCUUCUACAUCAACACCAUAGCCUCUCCGAUGAGUUGUGAGUAGUUUAUCACAGACCUUCGGGUCCAUAGUUAUUAGCUAGAUGGCUUCUUCUCUCUCUUGAAUCUCAAUACAAAGUUCUCCUCGAUCUUCUUGGAGAUCUAUUCGAUGUAAUUCUUUUUGCGAUGUGUUUGUGGAGAUCCAUGAAUUGUGGGUUUAUGAUCAAGUUUAUCCAUGAGAAAUAUUUGAAUCUCCUCUAAAUUCUUUUAUAUAUGAUUGGUUAUCUUUGCAAGUCUCUUCGAAUUAUCAGUUUGCUUUGGCCUACUAGAUUUAUCUUUUUUGCAAUGGGAGAAGUGCUUAGCUUUGGGUUCAAUCUUGCGGUGUCCUUUCCCAGUGACAGCAGGGGCAGCAAGGCACGUAUUGUAUUGUUGCCAUCGAGGAUAAAAAGAUGGGGUUUAUAUCAUAUUGCUUGAGUUUAUCCCUCUACAUUAUGUCAUCUUGCCUAAUGCGUUACUUUGUUCUUAUGAACUUAAUACUCUAGAUGCAUGCUGGAUAGCGGUCGAUAUGUGGAGUAAUAGUAGUAGAUGCAGGCAGCAAUCGGUCUACUUGUCGCGGACGUGAUGCCUAUAUACAUGAUCAUGCCUAGAUAUUCUCAUAACUAUGCACUUUUCUAUCAAUUGCUCGACAGUAAUUUGUUCACCACCGUAAUACGUAUGCUAUCUUGAGAGAAGCCACUAGUGAAACCUCUGGCCCACGGGUCUAUCUUUUAUCAUAUAAGCUUUCAAUCUACUUUUAUUUGCAUCUUUACUUUUCCAAUCUAUAUUAUAAAAAACCAAAAAUAUAUUUAUCUUAUCAUACUAUCUCUAUCAGAUCUCACUUUCGCAAGUGGCCGUGAAGGGAUUGACAACCCCUUUAGCGCAUUGGUUGCGAGGUUCUUGUUUGUUUGUGUAGGUACGAGGGACUUGCGCGUAGCCUCCUACUGGAUUAAUACCUUGGUUCUCAAAAGCUGAGGGAAAACUUACGCUACUUUGCUGCAUCACCCUUUCCUCUUCAAGGGAAAACCAACACAGGGCUCAAGUGGUAGCAAUGGGUUUUCCACUGAAUCUCACAUUCCAGGAUCCUAGCAUUUAUAGCAUGAAAUAUAAACUCUUAAUAAUGAACCUGGAAAUAUAAUAAUAUUAUAUUAUUGCCUCUAGGGCAUAUUUCCAAUAGUAUUCAACUUGCACUGAAGUCAAUAAUCUAGUUAGCACAUUUUUAUUUACACCAAUGGCAGUCUGGUGUUUGUCCAUACUCAGCUUGUGGUAUAGCCUUCAUCCCAUUGGAUCUUGAAAACUUCAUAUCCACGUGUAUCAUAUGCAUUUCAAUGCCUCUAUCAUGAUGGCUUUGUAUGUAUUGAAUCACUAGAAGGACCUAUGAUUCCUUGGACUGAGCUAUAGAACCACUAUUAAGUAUAGUGUUUCAUUGGCACAAUCAUCUAGAAAUCAUAACAAUCUCAUAAAUGAAAGUGUUAUUGAUCACUCUCCAUUGUUGCUUCUAAAGCAACAAUCUACUCAGCCCUCUGUUAUAGAUUUCACCACAGUAACCAACAACCCAACAAACACACUGCAAAAAACAUUACAUCGGAUAGAACUCCAAGAAGAUCGAGGAGAACAUUGUAUUGAAGAUCAAAGAGAGAAGAAGCCACUAGCUACUAGCUAUGGACUCGUAGGUCUGCGGUGAAUUGCUCACACAUCAUCGGAAGGCGGCACGGAUGAUGCAGAAGCCCUCAGUGAUCGAUUCCCCCUCCGGCGGAGUACCGGUAAAGCCCUCCAGAUGGAAUCGCGGAAGAAUAGAAGCUUGUGGUGGUGGAAAAAGUGUUUCGGAUGGCUCUCUGUUGGUUUGGGAAUAUUUGUGAAUUUAUAGGCUUGGAAUUAGGUCAAACGGAGUUGCGUGGGCCCAUAAGCUCAGGGGGCGCACUUUGUGAGCUCGUGGCUCUCUUGUAGCUCUUCUGGCCUCCUCCCGAACCUUCUAGGACCCCUUCUGGUCCAGAGAAAAUAACCAUAAUUCAUCGUAUUUGGACUUCGUUUGGUAUUGUUUUUCUGAAAAGCCAAAACAAGUAAAAAAUAGGAACUAGCACUGGGCAAUGGGUUAAUAGGUUAGUCCCAAAAGUGGUAUAAAAUAGCAUAAAAAUGCAUAUAAUCCAGGAUUGAUAAUAUAAUAGCAUGAAACAAUCAAAAGUUAUAGAUAUAUUGGAGACGUAUCAGCAUUCCCAAGCUUAAUUCCUGCUCGUCCUUGAGUAGGUAAAUGAGAAUAACAGAAUUUUUGUGUAUACAUGUAUUAUUUGUAGUGAGAUAUGUACAUGACAAAGAGCGAUACUACUGCCAGGAUCAGACCAAUGUACAUGACAUAAGAAAGAGGUGGCACAUCUCUGAAUGCAAGGUCCAUGGCAACAAGCAGACGCAAUGGAAAAGACAGAUUGUUUUGUCAUCUUUUGCAGCGCCAUCCUUUAGUAUGUCAGGGAGCAGCUAAGGAAUGAAAUCAUGCUCCAUUUUGGAUCAUAAGAUUUUAAUUUGACCAUAAGCUAAGCCUCCACCACACGAAAAGUGAUGAAAAUACAAAAUUUGUUAUGUGAUGCAAUACAAUGCAAAUCUUAUGUACUCCCUCUGUAAAGAAAUAUAAGAGCGUUUAGAUCAUUACUUUACACGUUACCAUCGUAAUCUCAAGCUUUGAAUUUAGUACUACUCAUUAAUCAAUUGUGUGAUCUUAAGAAAAUGCUAUACCUCUAAAAUGAACAACUAAAAGGUCAUGAGACACGUAGUGAUCUCCAAAUAAAUUGGUUGUUCUAGGGGAAAAGUGAUGAAAAGUGUUGUUCUAGGGGAAAAGUGAUGACAAGCAUGGAUUAUCUGUUUCGUCAUCUUGGGAGGGGGAGGGUCAUCCACAUGACCACAAGCCAAGCCCACACCCCACGUCAAGUGAUGCAAAUCCCAAUCAUGUCAUGUCAUGAUUUACAAUGCAAAUCUUCUUUAAAACUUUACACAUUGGCAUCACUAUCUUAAGCUUGGCAUUUGGUACUCCCUACGAUCCAUAUUUGUUGUCGCUCAAACGGAUGUAUCUAGCACUAAAAUACAUCUAGAUACAUCUGUUUCAGCGACAACUAAUAUGAAUCAAAGGGAAUACUACUAAUUAGUUGUGUGAUCUUAAUAAAACACCAUGCUUCUAAAAUGAACAGGUCACGAGGCGUGUACCAAUCUCCAGAUGAAUUUGAUGUUCUACAGAAUUCAUAUGUGCGGAAAGAUAAGACUGAAAACCGCACACUUACCCGGGAUAGGAUGGGAUAUUUUGAGAAAUAGAUAAGGAUUAGUUCAGGUUUCUCCCAUAUAUACGAAAUGACUGGACGAUGACUAAUUAAACGAGAGACAACAAACCACUUAUCUUCCUUUAUGACUCAAUUGAUCGAGAGCCUUCCCAAGUUGCUUUUGCGGUUUUGUUGGUCACAAUGCAGAUGCUUUGAACCUUUGCACAACCGUGGGCAUGUGGCUCCCGUUAAAUAGCCACAAGAUACCAUAAAAUUAGCACUUCCAAAGUUCCCAUUUACUCUCUCUUCCUCUCAAGUCUAACCAAAGCCCAACAAACCACCACCUCGGCCAUGGCAACCACCCUCGCCACCGACGUCCGCCUCUCCAUCGCGCACCAGACCCGCUUCGCCCUCCGUCUCGCCUCCACCAUCUCAUCCAACCCUAAGUCUGCUGCCAGCAAUGCCGCCUUCUCCCCGGUCUCCCUCUACUCCGCACUUAGCCUCCUCGCCGCUGGCGCGGGCAGUGCCACUCGGGACCAACUCGUCGCCACACUCGGGACAGGCAAGGUCGAGGGACUCCACGCGCUCGCCGAGCAGGUGGUCCAGUUUGUGCUCGCCGACGCGUCCUCCACUGGUGGUCCGCNNN